GGAAGGAGCAAGCCAUGGCAUGUCUGUGUGGCAGACCUACAGUCUCAGCUACUCUGGGGGCUGACAGGAGGGUCAGUUGACCCCAAGAAGGAUCCUAAGUUCAAAGCCAGCCUGGACAACGUAGCCAGACAGAGGAAGAAGAAGAGGAGGAGGGAGGAAGGAAAAAGAGUUCUGUGGUGUAUCUAUACAACAGAAUACUACACAGUCAUAAAAAAGCAUGAAAUAUUAAUAUACAUAGUAUGGAGAAUCUAAGAUGAAUUAUGCUGAAGGAAAGAAGUCAGACUGCUGUAUUUUAUUUCCAUGUAUACAAAAUUCUACACAGAAACAGAAAAACUCCCAUGAGGACAGGAGUAUAUGCGAACAGGGUGUUCCUCGGAGCCUGGUUUGUGACGUGAAGAGUUGGAGGAAAGAUAAUGAUCUGACAAGAAGGGGCUGGUUAAGUAAAUGGAGCCUCAGGUUCUGACUAAUCCAAACACAGUGAGCUCUAAUCCUGAUGGGGCAAGCGCAGACCAGGUGUACUGGCGCUCUGAAACAAGCUUUUGCUGAAGGGUAGACUGUGAAAAACAGCAUAUCUUAUGGAACUAGAAUGUCGGCCUGCUGAUACCUGAUCUCAGUCCUCUACCCUCCAAAAUGGCUCCAUACAUUCCAUCCUUGCAAGGCACCCUGCUGGUCAACAUUUGUUUACAGUCCCCCAGAAGGCUAAUAUACCCCAUGACAUCUUCAGUAAGGAAUGUAACCAUCCUGCUGCACAGCCAGGGAAGUUCUGAGGAGAGAGAUGCUUCUGCAAGACUUGUCCCUGGGGCUGUUUUGGUUAGAAGCUUACAUGGGGUCAUUAGGGCCUUGCUGAUUAAGAGUAGAUAGACUUGGAUUCAAAUUCUAGCUGCCCCCUUUCUAAAGCACAUGGACAAAUGACUCAACCUCAUGGGGCCUCAGUUUCUUCACAUGUACAGAGGUAGCAUGGCACUCCCUUGGGAGAUACUGGGCUAUUCCGAGGUGCAUCUGCAGUCCUUGGAAUGUGGAACUUGCUAAGGUUCCACCUGGUUCCUCCUGCCCUCAGCAAGCUGCUGCUGUUGCUAGGGGUGUCUGUGGGAAGCUAUAAAGCUCAAUGGCCUGAAUAGGUUGAACUGUGGCUAUGUCUUCCUAGUGCUAGGCUUUCCUGCUAAAGCAAAGGCUCAGCUGGUCAACUCAGUGGGAAAGUGCUUGCCUCACAAGCAAGAGAACCUGAGUUCAAUCCCCGACACCCACAUUAAAAAGCCAUGUAGUGUGUGCUGGGGGAGGCAGAAACAGGAGGAUCCCUGGAGUUCUCUAGCUAAUAAGGUAAAGCUUGAUGUGGUAAUGCAUGCCUUUUUUUUUUUAAUAGACGUGACCUCCCUGUAGCUGCAGCUGGAACUCACUAUGUAGACCAGGCUGGCCUCUGUGUGCACUCCACAUAGGAGAUGGAGAAAGACACUUGAUAUCACCCUCUGGCCUCUGCAUGCUCACACACAUGUGCAUACACACAAACAUGUAUACAUGCACACAUGCACACACUACACACAAAUAAUUAUAAAGCAAAAAGCAUGCUUCUCUCCCAAUGUGCCUUCCAAAACAGCUGGUCAUUCCAAGACUCUGCUCCAUUGUUGCCUGGAAAGCCAAAAGGAACAGAAAACCUUAAAACUCAGCCCUACCCUGGGCCUGCGUGGAACUUUCUAGAAGCACUGACUUUCAAACCAGCAGUACGGACUCUGUGGCUGUUCCUUCAUCCUGAGAGUGCCUGUGUUCAGAACAUUGCCUCGGUGUCCCUCCUACUUAGCUGUGAGGAGGGAACAUCCUUCCCACUCAAUUAAAAGGACAUUUUUCCAAUGAGCCUAGGUCAUAUUUCAAACUGGCUUGCCAAACUCCUCGGUACCAGGAGCCAGUAAAAGGGGGGCAUUUAACACUGUAUUUAUUUUGACUGGCAAAACAGGUUAUGGCUGUAAAGGAAAGAGCUCUUGGGAAGGAGCCGCCUGGCCGACUCGGGGCUCACUCUUUCUACCCACACACACGCUGUUUAAAGCAUUCCAGAACCACUGCCAGCUUUGCUGGCACGGCUGUUAUUUCUUUACAUGCAUGUUGCAUUCCAUCUGUUUAAUGUGCGCUCUGUGCCAUUCUCAGACUUCGGCAAGGCCUGGCAAGGUGGUACGGUGUGUGCUUAGGCUUGUUCUAUGCCACACAGGGCACCAGGCUGAGUGAGUUUAAAGGGAUGGAGUUCUGCCUUCCCUGGGUUCACAGGGGCCUGGAGUCACGAAGACAGGAGGGCAGCUCCCUGUGUCUCUCCAGAUGUGGUUGAAGACCUUUUUUUGUUUUUUUCUUUUUUUGUGGUACAGGGAAUCAAAGCCAGGGCCUCACACGCCAAACAAGUGCUUUGUGCUGAGCUCCACCCUCAGCCCUCCAGCUUCAGCUAAAUCACACGUGUGCCACCCGUAUACUUUAUUAUACCCAGAGAGUUUGGGGGGCACAGCUCUGCAACUUGAUACAUAGCCAGGAAAAUAGACGGGAAGAGCGAAGGCAACAUCAGGAAGACAUUGCUCAGAAACACUCCAAGGCCUUGAAUGCUGUGCCUGGUUCCUGGUGCCCAGAGAAAGGCCUAACCCCAACUUCAAGCUGUUCUGCACCACAAGGGCUUGGUUGGUGUAGCUGAAGCAACAUGCUCUGAUUCAGAUCCAACUUAAUACAUUUGGAAGACAGGAAAACCAGGUUUUUAGGCACUGCCAAAACAUCUGGUGAUUUCAGUGUAAAAAACAACAACAAGGAGUGGAUCCCAUGAGGAAGGUGAAGUUAAGGAUUCAGAGGAGAAAGGAGGAUUUGGGCUUUGUAAACAAAACAUGAGUGUUGAACACAUCUCCUGAGUCCAGCCAAGGUUGCAAACAAAGGUCCCUGCUCUAAAGUGGAGUUACCUGGAACCAAAGGGGUGACACGGCACUGGGAGAAAAAAAACCCCGAGAUCCUGGCUCCUAAUGAGAAACAGCCGCGUGUGGAAUAAAAUUUAAACUUUCUUGCCAGCUUCCUCCAGAGCGCAAGAUCAUCCUGCGUUUCUAAACAAUACGCCAGUCAUCAGAUAUGGGUGAGGAGGGGAGGUGGGGGCACUGUUCUGGAUGCUCCACACAUAACCCAGUCCCAGAGCCCAAGACAAACAUGGAGCCCCGCGUUUGGCUUCCGUACCAGACCCGGUAAAUACAUGUUCCUACAGGUUGGAAAACUGUCUGGCUCAUCUUUGCAUUUUCUCUCUUUCUCCCACUUCUAACUUGGAUCUCAGCAUUCUGCCUCGAUAUUGGCCAAGUUCACGUUUGCCAGUUGUCGAGUGGAUAAUGGAUGGUUUGUGAGAUUAGUAAUCUGAUGGGGAGACAGAGACAGCUGUGUGAUAAAAUGACUUCUGAGCCCCAAUCUCCAUGCAGCCUUGCAGGCCAGUCACGUGCCGAAGGACAAUGGGAACAAGGACUUAAUCCCUGGUCCUAGACUGUGUGAGUUGCUCUGAUAACCAC